rnacentral:lncRNA from 10 species
GAAGAAAAAAGGAGCUGAUCAAAACCAAUAAAAAAAUACAAACAAAAGAAAAAUCUGGAAUAAACCAAUGUAAGCAAAAUAGGAGAACCUGAGGGAGUAUGAGGAAGGUUGCCCAAUAUGCCCAUGAAGUAAAAGAGAGAUGGGGGAGAUGGCCACCAAUUAAAAUUAAUUAAACAUUUUUAAUGAUCUCUGAUGCUGACCUCAUGCUCCAGGUGCCUGAAACAAAGAAAAGAAAUGCAGAUAAUUGGAUCUUCAUGACAUUUUCCCAACUGGCCACUUUCCCUGUAACAAGACCAAGCCUGUCUCUUCCAUUGUACUCUCGUGAGCUACCUGGGUCAGAACCUGAAAUCUUGGCGCAGAAGUCCUGUGGCCUGGUCAUCCCAAAGGCAGGCUGCCGUGUAGAGCCUGGCUUGGCACAGGAGGCCCCAGCCAAUGAUCUCUGAUGCUGACCUCAUGCUCCAGGUGCCUGAAACAAAGAAAAGAAAUGCAGAUAAUUGGAUCUUCAUGACAAUUUCCCAACUGGCCACUUUCCCUGUAACAAGACCAAGCCUGUCUCUUCCAUAUGGGUCAGCCAUAUCCCACCCACUCCUCCUGGGAUUUGACUUGGGGAAUGUGGACAGAAUCACACAGUCAGUAGAAGUUGGAAAGUAGGCGGAAGUGGCCACAUGGGGUAGGGACAUAUCAGAGUUAUGAUGAAUCAGAAGCAGAAGCCCCAAGUUGAAGAAGAGAUACAAAGCUUGGAAGCAGGAAGAGAUGGAGCGGACACACAAAGGAAUCCAACACUGGAGAACGGCAACGUAAAGGUGGCGUGCUAGGGGAAAGCUCCAGAAUUCCUGCAGCUGGGCGCUGGAGCCACCCUGAACUUUCAAAGACCUCCCUAUUCCAGUCUCCACAAUCCCAGGUCCUGGUAUGUCCCUGGAUUUGGGGGGAGAUUCUGGCUCCUUUGUAGCACCACAAUAAACCCUUAUUGCCUGAGUUAUCCCAAGUGACUCCCUGUUCUUUAUGGGCUCACAAGCCAACACACC